CCCUUAGAUGUCCUGGGCCGCACGCGCGCUACACUGAUGCAUUCAACGAGUCUAAAACCUGCUCUGAUAGGGGUGGGUAAUCUUUUGAAUGUGCAUCGUGAUUGGGAUAGAUGAUUGCAAUUUUUCAUCUUCAACGAGGAAUGCCUAGUAAACGCAAGUCAUCAGCUUGCAUUGAUUACGUCCCUGCCCUUUGUACACGCCGCCCGUCGCUCCUACCGAUUGAAUGAUCCGAUGAAUAUCAUGGAUUGAGGAUGCAAGCAGGUUCGCCUGUCUUCAUCUUCGAGAAGUGAAGUAAAUCUUAUCAUUUAGAGGAAGGAGAAGUCGUAACA
rnacentral:rRNA from 1 species